AAGGAGCAUUCUCCAUGCCGGCUCGAAGAGUCGAGUGCAGGUCAUGGCAGAGGCCAUUUCGGAAGCGAAUGUUUUCCGAUGGUUGCUCAUGGGUGGAACGCUGACAAUCUCCAUCACGUACGGCCGCGGCCGAGUCUGUGGUGCUGGUGGAUAUAUCAACACACUGUUGGGUCCUGAAAGAACAGACGUUCUUUCCAGGCAAAAAAUACGAUCCGCUCGGAUCUCCGUUCAUACCGCGAGGGUUUUUGGUUCUCGGCUGGUGCGGGUGCAAGGUUCGGGUGGGUGUGUUGUUUGAGAACUGCACAGUGGACGCGAGCAUCUUUGUUUU
rnacentral:misc_RNA from 2 species